GCCGAUGUGGUGAAAUUGGUAGACACGUGCGCUUCAGGUGCGCAUGCUUCGCGGCUUGUGGGUUCGAGUCCCACCAUCGGCA
rnacentral:tRNA from 1 species